rnacentral:rRNA from 1 species
AACGAACGCUGGCGGCAUGCCUAACACAUGCAAGACGAACGAGAUCUUCGGGUCUAGUGGCGCACGGGUGCGUAACGCGUGGGAAUCUGCUCUUUGGAUCGGAAUAACAGUUGGAAACGACUGCUAAUACCGGAUGAUGACGAAAGUCCAAAGAUUUAUCGCCAGAGGAUGAGCCCGCGUAGGAUUAGCUAGGUGGUGUGGUAAAGGCGCACCAAGGCGACGAUCCUUAGCUGGUCUGAGAGGAUGAUCAGCCACACUGGGACUGAGAACACGGCCCAGACUCCUACGGGAGGCAGCAGUGGGGAAUAUUGGACAAUGGGCGAAAGCCUGAUCCAGCAAUGCCGCGUGAGUGAUGAAGGCCUUAGGGUUGUAAAGCUCUUUUACCCGGGAUGAUAAUGACAGUACCGGGAGAAUAAGCUCCGGCUAACUCCGUGCCAGCAGCCGCCGUAA